UACGAAGGGUGCAAACGUUGCUCGGAAUCAUUGGGCGUAAAGCGCACGUAGGCGGCUUGCCAAGUCGGACGUGAAAUCCCUCAGCUCAACUGAGGACGUGCAUCCGAAACUGGCGAGCUUGAGUACUGAAGAGGAUCGCGGAAUUCCCGGUGUAGAGGUGAAAUUCGUAGAUAUCAGGAGGAACACCGGUGGCGAAGGCGGUUCUCUGGGCAUGUCCUGACGCUGAGGAGCGAAAGUGUGGGGAGCGAACAGG
rnacentral:rRNA from 1 species